UUAAAAUAAUUAUUCUAUUCAAUUUUAUUAUUUCAAAAACUCCCUAUUUUUCUCGGUUUCGCCUUCGAGAUAUCCCCCUUCCAUCGCUUCUCCAGAAUCCAAAUCCAUCUCCUUCUCUCUAAAAUCAAUCUCGCUCCUUGUUCCUGCUCUUGCAUUAGCGAUCCAUAACCCUUUUCCCCUUCAUUUUAGAUCUCCGCUGUCUCUGGUGUUUAACUCUUUGAGCAUCCAUGCUGAGCCCUAUUUCUUGACGAAGGAGCAUGGUUAGCUAGUAAAUUACAAUAAAUGGCUUGAAAUCCAAACUUGAGAAUGCUUCGCUAGUAAAGGUUUUAGUGGAGGAGAGAUUGGUUAAUCUUAGAUGAUACAAGCUGAUCGCAGCUUGUAGAAGCUGCCCUUAAGCAUGUUGAUGAUAACUUGGCUGAUAUUUAAUCACCCCUACCAUGACAUCUGUCUUCCUGUCGAUGUUGUAUAUAACAAGUUACAGUUUAGCAGUAAACCUUGCAUUCACGCUAGUAACCAACACUAUGUUGAAAGUGUAGAGGCCUCUACCGGGAGGUUCUUGGAAGUCCUUUGACAAAUUUUUGAUUGUCAUUUGCUACAAUUCUAACAAUGGAAAGGUAUAAAAUUUUGGAAGAGAUUGGUGAUGGUACUUGUGGUUGUGUAUUUAAGGCCGUCAAUAUCGAAACAUAUGAAAUUGUUGCCGUGAAGAAAAUGAAGAGAAAGUUCUAUUUCUGGGAAGACUGCAUGAAUUUACGAGAAGUAAAGGCCCUCCAUAAAUUGAAUCAUCCCAAUAUUGUAAAGUUGAAAGAAGUUGUCAGGGAAAACAAUGAACUAUUUUUCAUUUUUGAAUACAUGGAAUGCAAUCUGUACCAAUUAAUGAGAGAGCAGCAGGGAUCGUUUUCAGAGGAAGAGAUACGGAACUUUAUGUCUCAGGUGCUUCAAGGACUUGCUCACAUGCAUAGAAAUGGAUAUUUUCAUCGGGAUUUGAAACCUGAGAAUGUGCUUGUGACGAAGGAUGUUCUUAAAAUUGCUGACUUUGGAUUGGCUAGAGAAGUUUCAUCAGCACCCCCUUACACUGAAUAUGUUUCCACACGGUGGUACCGAGCUCCAGAGGUUUUGUUGCAGUCCUCAACAUAUACUCCUGCAAUUGAUAUGUGGGCAGUUGGUGCAAUAAUAGCUGAGCUUUUCACUCUGUCCCCAAUUUUCCCUGGUGAAAGUGAAAUAGAUCAGUUGUACAAGAUAUGCUGUGUUCUUGGUACCCCAGAGUUGGCUGCAUUCCCUAAAGCUACAAAUGUCUCUCAACUGAUGAACCUGAGUUGUGCAGAGAUGUUACCUGCCAACCUAUCUGAUAUCAUUCCCAAUGCUAGCUUGGAAGCUAUUGAUUUGAUUAUGCAAUUGUGUUCGUGGGAUCCAUUAAAGAGGCCAACUGCUGAUCAGUCACUGCAACAUCCAUUUUUCCAUGUGGGUAUGUGGGUUCCUUAUCCACUUCGCGAUCCUCUUGAGCUGAAGCUAAAUAACAAGGGACCGAAGCCAAAUCUUGAGUUAAAUCUAUGGGAUUUUGGUGCUGAACCUGAUGACUGUUUUCUUGGAUUGACACUCGCUGUAAAGCCCAGUGUUUCAAACUUGGGAGACUUAUUUCAUGCAGAGGUAGUCCGGAAUGUUCCUCAAGGCAUGCGGGAGGAUUUUGUGUUUUGCUCUGAUUUAAAAGGUCGCCAAGAACAGUCAGGUAAUUGUUUGGUUGGACCUUGCAGUUUUUUGGUCGCUGCUAUCUCCUGAUCAAAAUGGAAUCCACCCUCCAGUGGAAUCAUCGCUAUCAUUAUCAUUUAGUUCGAUUCAGCAUCCAUCGGUUGGAGUUCCACAAUCAUCUGGCUUCACAAUUACAUCACUACAGCCUAACUUCUUAGAUUGCCCAUUAUUGGCCAUGUCCUCCCCACUUCAACAAGGUCAUUACCUCUGACUGACUUGAUUGGUUGGAUCAAAUAAGAAAGGCGUACAAAUAACUGGUAAUUUAUUUUAUUUGAUUUUGUAAAGUUUAUUUAGCACCUGCAUAGUUUCAUUCUUGAUCGAUGCAAUGCAACUGCAGCAUGUCAUUGGCAGAAAAUACAGGCCCUGGGAAAAUCAAAUCUCCCCGGACCAAAAUUGACUCAAAGUUCACUUUAAUGUACAUUUACACGAUGGGGCAGCCAAUUGAAAAUUUUAAUAUUUAAGUAUUUGGCCCUUCCAGCGAUAUCUUA